rnacentral:rRNA from 1 species
CCUACGGGAGGCAGCAGUGAGGAAUAUUGGUCAAUGGGCGCUAGCCUGAACCAGCCAAGUAGCGUGAAUGAUGACUGCCCUAUGGGUUGUAAACUUCUUUUUUAUGGGAGUAAAGUGCAGUAUGUAUACUGCUUUGCAUGUACCUUAUGAAUAAGGAUCGGCUAACUCCGUGCCAGCAGCCGCGGUAAUACGGAGGAUCCGAGUGUUGUCCGGAUUUCUUGGGUUUAAAGGGAUCGUAGGCGGGUUGUUACGUGAGUUGUGAAAGUUUGCGGCUCAACCGUAAAGUUGCAGUUGAUACUGUGAUCCUUGAGUACAGUAGAGGUAGGCGGAAUUCGUGGUGGAGCGGUGAAAUGCUUAGAUAUCACGAAGAACUCCGAUUGCGAAGGCAGCCUGCUGGACUGUAACUGACGCUGAUGCUCGAAAGUGUGGGUAUCAAACAGGAUUAGAUACCCGGGUAGUC